ACCAACGCACACUUUCUUCUUCUUUCUUCCUUUCUCUUCUACUUUUCUCCCUUCCCUCUGUUCUAACCACCCGAACACAGAGUGAGAGACGAGAGAGUGAGAUCGGGAGAUCAGAGAGAGAGUUGAGAGCAAAGAGAAGAGACUGAGAGAGCAGAGCGAUUGAGAGUGUGAGAGACCGAGUAAAAGGGAGAGGUCGGGAGAGAAGGAGAGUCAGAGAUCGAGAGAGAGAUCGGACCUCGAUCCUCCGGGGGAUGACGCCGGUGAAGCAAGGUGGCGCCGACGAGACCAGAGAACGCCGGCGACGCGAUCUCCAGUGAGCCUGUGACCCAUAUGGGUGUGAAACCCGUGCAACCCGUGACCCAGUGAUCCACGACCCGUGAAACCCGACCCUCUAGAACCAGUUUUCCGGCGAUUUCGAGAUGAUUUCCGGCGACUCCAGGGUAUUUUCGGCGAAGACCCACUGAACCACGAAGACCCAUAACCCGAAAGGCCCAGAGACCCGAUCCUCCCUGUGUGGUUUUCCAGUGAGUCCUCCGACGAACCAGAGUUGAUUUCCGGUGGUUCUUGAGCUCCAUGUUAUUAGGAUAGUGUCCGGAUUGGAGUCUUUAAUGGGUUCUCCAAUGUAGAGUUCGAGUCAUGGUCCAAUGCAGCCAAGGUGAGUAUUCUACUCACUGAGAAGUAUUAUUUUCAUAAAUGAUGAAUUGCAAAAUAUAUAUUGUUUUACAAAUCUGAACCAACUGUAUGUUGAUUAUGAAUUGUUUUGGAUGAUUUGAGUACUUUGGAGUAUAUUGAAAUAUUGAUGAUGUUUUGAACUAUGAAUAUGAUUGGUGAGUUUAGAGUGAGUAUAAAGAUUUAAGUUAUGCAAAUUGUUAAAGAAAUGACAUGUUGAAUUGAUUAUGUUUUGUAAAGAAAGCAUGUGUUAAAGUCAUGAUUAUGAAAUUAAAUGUAUAGUAUUUGAGCACGAGCAUUGAGCAUGGCACGAACAAGACCGGGGUUCAAUUCUCUUAAGCAUACGAACAAGACCGGGGUUCAAUUCCCUUAGGCAUACGACAAGACCGGGGUUCAAUUCCCUUAGGCAAACGUACGACACGCAUGCACAGCAUUUGUUUCAUGAUAAUUGAAUUGUUUUCAUGUUUUUGAUAUAUAGUAGUUUUAUGCUAGACGUAUUAAUAUGCAUAAGAAUCUCAAUGGAAAAGAGCUUAUGUAUGUUUCUAUCGGAUGGCCACACGUUUUAUAUAUAUGGUAGUUUUGCUAGACGUAUUAGUAUGCAUAAGAGUCUCAAUGGAAAAGAACUUAUGUAUAUUUAUAUCGGGUGGUUGCAUGUUUUAAAUGCCAUUAUUUUCUAAGUCUUACUAGAUCAAAGGUAAUAUAGUAGGUGAGGAUGUAUGUAGUGUAUCCAACAAUGGAACUUCUACGUAUAAGCUCAACUGCGUAGUAUACUUUAAAUGUUUUCUAUUAGCCGGUGUUUGCUAUAUCAGCUAUGGGGGUUUUCAAACAAAAGCUUAUAAAAUUGGUAGUUGUUAUAGUGUACGCAUGACUAGAAAUGAAAAGUUGGUUCUUUGCGAAAACUCAGUGAAUAGUAUACCUCUGAGGUCUUAGUGUAUUUAUGUAUGCUAAGACGGUGGGCUCAUAAUUCCACCUAUACGGAUGUGGCAAACCCCCACAAUCGUAUAGAUUUUCCUUUGGCUGCAGGUACCCCGGUCGUAGGGGAGAGUGUUGUAGGUGCAUUUGGGAUGAUAUGACCGAAGCUCGUCGCGAUGGUCGUAAUGGUUGGACCACAGUUGUCCACUAUUUUAUAGGUUUGUUUAUGGCUUGUGACGCUUUGGUCACUUGUUAUUGUAUAAGCCAUUCCUGUUGUCUAAAUAUGUUGAGAAGACUUAAACAUAUAGAUGUUAAAUGGCUCUGUAUUGUAAAUAAUUUGUAAUAGAUGUAUAAGCUAUACUUUUCACUAUUCAGGUUUA